UACGUAGGGUGCGAGCGUUUGUCCGGAAUUACUGGGCGUAAAGAGCUCGUAGGUGGUUUGUCGCGUUUGUCCGUGAAAUUCCCUGGCUUAACUGGGGGGCGUGCGGGCGAUACGGGCAGACUGGAGUACUGCAGGGGAGACUGGAAUUCCUGGUGUAGCGGUGAAAAUGCGCAGAUAUCAGGAGGAACACCGGUGGCGAAGGCGGGGUCUCUGGGGCAGUAAACU
rnacentral:rRNA from 1 species